UACGAAGGGUGCAAGCGUUACUCGGAAUUACUGGGCGUAAAGGGUGCGUAGGUGGUUUGUUAAGUCUGUUGUGAAAGCCCCGGGCUCAACCUGGGAAUGGCAAUGGAUACUGGCAGGCUAGAGUGCGGUAGAGGGUAGUGGAAUUCCCGGUGUAGCGGUGAAAUGCGUAGAGAUCGGGAGGAACACCAGUGGCGAAGGCGGCUACCUGGACCAGCACUGACACUGAGGCACGAAAGCGUGGGGAGCAAACAGG
rnacentral:rRNA from 1 species